rnacentral:rRNA from 1 species
UGCAUGUCUCAGUGCAAACUGUAUUGAAAGUGAAACUGCAAAUGGCUCAUUAUAACGGUUAUGGUUCCUUGGGCCAAAGUAUACUACACGGAUAUCUGUAGUAAUUCUAGAGCUAAUACGUGCAAUCAUCACCUUCGGGUGUGCAGUUAUUUGAUCGCAAAUCAAUUGCGAGUUUCGUACUCGUAUUUGGCGUGACUCUGGAUAAUAUUGCCGAUCGUGUGGCCUUUGCGCCGACGACAUAUCUUUCAAAUGACCGACCUAUCAACUUUCGAAGGUAUGGUAUUGGCCUACCUCGGUUGUAACGGGUGACGGAGGAUCAGGGUUUGACUCCGGAGAGGGAGCAUGAGAAACGGCUACCACAUCCAAGGAAGGCAGCAGGCGCGCAAAUUACCCAAUCCCGACUCGGGGAGGUAGUGACAAGAAAUAACAAUACGGGACCUUUAUAGGUUUCGUAAUUGGAAUGAGAGAACUCUAAAUCCUUCAACGAGUACCAAUUGGAGGGCAAGUCUGGUGCCAGCAGCCGCGGUAAUUCCAGCUCCAAUAGCGUAUAUUAAAGUUGUUGCAGUUAAAAAGCUCGUAGUUGGAUCACAGUGCUACGGUGCCGGUCCGCUCAACGGCGGUUACUGGCAUUGUUGCUCUUUCUCGCGAAUGAACUUUGUAUUCUUCGUUGAGUGCUUAGUUUUAAUCGCGACGUUUACUUUGAACAAAUUGGAGUGCUCAAAGCAGGCUGAUUGCCUGAACAUUUAUGCAUGGAAUAAUGAAAUAGGACCUGGUCCUAGUUUCGUUGGUUUGAUGAGAUCAGGAAAUGAUUGAGAGGGACAUACGGGGACAUUCGUAUUGCGGCGGGAGAGGUGAAAUUCUAAGAUCGCCGCAAGACGCACUAAUGCGAUGGCAACUGUCAAGCGUGUUUCCAUCAAUCAAGAGCGAAAGUCAGAGGUUCGAAGACGAUCAGAUACCGACCUAGUUCUGACUGUAAACUAUGUCGGCUGGCGAUCUGCUGAUUAAAUAUAACACAGAUCAGUGGGCAGCCCUCGGGAAACCAAAGCUUUUGGAUUCCGGGGGAAGUAUGGUUGCAAAGCUGAAACUUAAAGGAAUUGACGGAAGGGCACCACCAGGAGUGGAGCCUGCGGCUUAAUUUGACUCAACACGUGGAAUCUCACCAGGUCCGGACAUAACAAGGAUUGACAGAUUGAGAGCUCUUUCUCGAUUUUAUGGAUGGUGGUGCAUGGCCGUUCUUAGUUGGUGGAGCGAUUUGUCAGGUUAAUUCCGAUAACGAACGAGACUCUAGCCUGCAAACUAGUAGCCAUCCACGAGUGUGGGUUGGCCUACUUCUUUGAGGGACAAUCGGCGUCUAGCCGAACGAAAAAGAGCAAUAACAGGUCUGUGAUGCCCUUAGAUGUUCUGGGCCGCACGCGCGCUACACUGAAGGAUAUAACGGGUCGUCUCACUUUGCUCGCAAGAGUUGAGUAACCCUACAACGUCCUUCGUGCCAGGGAUCGGGGAUUGCAAUUCUUCUCCGUGAACUAGGAAUUCCUAGUAAGCGCGAGUCAUCAGCUCGCGUUGAUUACGUCCCUGCCCUUUGUACACACCGCCCGUCGCUACUACCGAUCGGAUUGGUUGAUGAGGCGUUUGGACCAGGGACCUUACCGGGAUUCAUCUCGGUCUGGCCCACGGAAAGAUCGCCGAAUCUACUUGUCUA